AAUAGAGGUAAUGAGAUUUCUCUUAUCACCUCGGCAGCAAGCGAAGGUACCUUUGGUACCCGCGACGUAGUCCCCCCGGCUACGUCGCGAACUUUUUUU
rnacentral:ncRNA from 1 species